rnacentral:lncRNA from 1 species
UCGGUAUAAAUUUUUUUUUAAACUAAAAAGUUCUUUAUCAAUCAAAUCUCUGAUUAGGCAGAAAACGAAACAUAUAUUCAAUAAUAUUGAUACACUUCAGUUAACCUUGCGCGCUAAACAAACAAAUAGAACAAGACAUCUCACAAAACGCAAGACAUUUUCUUAACAUGUUUUUAUCCAAUAAUGCGUCAUAACCACUUGAAGACAGGGCGUCUCAGAACUUGGUAGCACAUCUUGGUAGCACAUAGAUUCAUAUUUUUCCUAUAAAAUAUUGUUAAUCACAUGUAACUACCUCCCAGUUUCAACUCCAACGGUUUCAACUCUGUGCAGGUGGGUGUUGGUUGUUUCCAAGAAGGAAUUGUAGCGCAGGGAUGUGUGAUCAAAAGCCAUGAUGGUAAGAUCAUAAUAAGGAAGAAAUCCUGGUUGAGCCAAGUGUGGUUGAAGCAUUGGAUAUUCGUUGGAGACUGCAUAUGACGAAUGAGCUAAAGCUGGAUUGUGUGCUUGUGCAAUUGAAUGAUCUUGUUGUGGCUGAACGCGUGGAUUCUAUUACAUUUUCUAUUGUUUUGGAACCUCUAAUCCCAUAUUGUAUUAUGCUGCUUAAAUAUUUUAAAGAUAGCUCUGAUCCCAUAUUGAAUUAUGGUGAGCAUUGUUAUUGUUCACCAUAUGGUUGGUGUUGAAAGAAGGUUUGGUUCCAAG